rnacentral:piRNA from 1 species
CUGGUCGAGAGCGGGCGCGACAAU